GGGCUGCUGGCGCAACGGUAGCGCGUUCGACUCCAGAUCGAAAGGUUAUCCGUUCAAAUCGGGUGUGGCUCA
rfam:Colletotrichum fioriniae PJ7 Scaffold_930.1, whole genome shotgun sequence.